CCGGAGCUCUCGCCACCACUCGGGCCUUAUUUAGCAACCCCGUGACCCGUUCCUUCCUAACCUCUCGCAUGGACCUUUCCCCUGAGCACACCGCCACCGCCACAAACCUUCACCGCGUCCGCUCGGAAAAGUGCUGUCGCCGGUGAUUCCCUUACGCACUCGCGCGCGUAUCCGUACGUGUGGUCAGGUGCGUUCGCCGGGAACCCGUGAAGCUGCUGGAGUCCUCAAUUCGAACUGCGGAGCCUCGGAGCGACUUGGAUUGCUCGCCGCAGUUCGAUCUCCGCCGCGGGACCACUUCACGACGUGGCCAGGUGUCCCUGCUUCGCCGCCGUCGGUAAGAACUCCCCAUACCGAUUCGCCCAUGCACCUACAUCGUGUAGCAUCAGUUUGAUUUGGGAAUAGUGCGCUGGGGGCUUGAAUCGCGCGCUCGUCGGCGAUGGCGCCGCCGUGUUCCGUCUGGUGCGCCGCCGACUAGUUGGGUUAGAUGGUGUGUUUGCCGGGUGCCGUAGGAUCUGUGAUAGGCGGUUGUGAUUACUUUCACCGUAACGAUUCGGCUAGGGAGACUCGGGGGCGUCGGAUCAUGAUCGGACGCGUAGGAUCUAGCUGGGGUAUUUUAAAUCGGGGCCGCAGAUCACCGAUCCAACGGCUAGCGUAACAUGCGGGUUCUGCAUGAUGAUAGAAUCAUAUGCGCCGUCCGGAUCUAAUCCAACGGCCCACAUCUACGGAUACCCCUUCGCGAUAGCGUUUUGCAUAAGAGACCCCGCAGAAGUUGGGUAUCAACCCGCGGUCCAUCCCCCUGUGCCCUGUGUCUUAGUAUUUUUAGCCCCGAGAUCCGUGGCCUUUCUGAAAAUUGAUGCCCAGUCCAGAGAUGAUUAAAAAUAGAGAAAUAAUUAUAGAAAUUCGUUUUUAAUACAAAAACAAAUCUAGAAACUUGUAAAAUGCAUAGAAAAUUCAUUUUUAGUCCAAAUUGAUCCAUUCCAAUUUCUAAAAUUUUGUAAAUUUAAUAUCUAUCACAUAGAGUCUCUGUUUUGGCAUGAAAACAGUAAGAAAAUUAAUUUCUUGUGUAAUUCCUUUUCAAGCACAUUAAACCAUUGGAAAUUCAUAAUUCAAAAUCUAUAACUUCAAAAUUAAUGAUUCUUGUUCCUAGGUCCUUAUUUUAAUGUGUAGAUUUUUAUUGUGUAUUUUAUUCACAUGUUUGGUGCAAUAUUAAUUUUUGCUAUACUAUGUAUGUAUUGUGUUGAUGCGAGUAGACGAGCAAGCCACUGUGGAUCCUGAGGUUCAGCAGGUAUAGCUGAGCAGGAGCUCAUUGAAGGCAAGUUGUGCCCUUGAUCACUUACUUUUUCCUAGCCAUGUUCUUAUUAAUUAUAAUGAUCUGCAUAGGGUAAUUUUGAUGGGAUCCAAUAGGUUACCCCAGUUUUGGCUAUCUUUAUACCUUGUUGCCACUGAAUAUUUUUGGGUAGUACUUGCUAUUGCUUAUUGUGGUUUUGGGUAUGGAGAUACACUAUUCAUGAUUUCAUCUUUAUUAUCUGUUUAUUAUUAUUGUUCAUGUUAAGAUCAUUAUGUUAAUGGGAACAUGGAGCGACCACCCGGGAAAACAGUGCUACCACAAGGGUUUAAUGGGACGCCCUUGGCCGAUUAACUAGGAAAGCUAGUGGAUGACUUCCUUACCCGAAAGGGGCAAGGGUAGUAGGGGAGUGGUCAAUGUAGGGAGGUCCUUGGGUUGAUUUUGCUGCGAUGGCGGUCAGGCGAGGGAUUCCUGUACUAGAGCUUCCUAUAAACUGUAGCGAGAUUUCUGAAGCUAGUGGAACUUUGUAAAGGCCUCGUAGUGUUACCCUGCCUCGCCUCCUCGGUAGAGGUGUAUGGGAUUGGCCAUCUUUUGGCAGAUGGGUAACAUGACUUGUGGGUAAAGAUACACAACCUCUGCAGAGUGUAAAACUGGUAUACUAGCCAUGCUCACGGUCAUGAGCAGCUCGGACCCUCACAUGAUUAAUUUAUGGAACUUAAAUUUAAUUUGACAUUUGCAUCGCAUUUGGUAUUAUUUUACUAUUACUUUAUUUAUUAUUAUUAAGGUUUGGUAUUUACUUACACUUAGUAAUUGCUAAUAAAAUUUUGACCAACUUAUAAAAGCAAUGCUCAGCUUCAGCCCUUACUUUGUUGAUCAUCCUUACACUUCACAUGAACUCCCACCUUUGGUGAGUUCAUGCACAUUAUUCCCCACGACUUGUUGAGCUAUGAACGUAUGUGAGCUCACUCUUGCUGUCUCACACCCCCCACAGGAGAAGAACAGGUGGUCGAAGAGGAGCCGCCUAGCACUGAGGCUUUCGACUUGAUCUAGGUGGCAUCUCCCAGUCAGCUUUCUGGCGCCAUGGAUAGAUUUUAGAUCCUAUUAUAUUUAUCUUAUAUUUUGUAAGACUUCUGCUAUGUAAUAAAUACUCUGAUUAUAUUGUGACAUUUAUCUCUAUACACUCUGUUAUUAUAUAUGUUGUCUUCUUUGGCACAUGUAUGAGAUGCACCCGGCUUUGUCCCUUAAAUCCGGGUGUGACAGAAGUGGUAUCAGAGGAAAUGUUGACUGUAGGACGAAACCUAGAUAGAAAUGAAGAAAACCCUUACCUACUUACCUUACUCUGAUUCUUUCUAUACUUAUCUUGAUCCUGUCUCACCUUCUACUGUUCUACUCUGAUGAUUCUUACCUUUUCUACUCUGAGACAAGAUGGAUUUCUCACCUUGGAAUCCUACAUUUAUGAUCUUUUUAAGAGAUAGGAGACCUAAGACAAAAAUUAAAAUUAUUUUCUCUAUUAAAAAUGUUGGUUGAUUGUUCUGAUGAUCAAUGCCUGAUUUGCUUCUUUGAUUGAUUAAAAUAGUAUAGACGAGCAUCUUAGCAUGUACCACCAUAAGGUAAUGAAUUAGCUUUAGUAGGUGACACACUUAGCUAAUAAAUCCCUCAAAGUAACAUGCUUCGUAAUCACUGCCUUGUCUACAAUCCUUUCUUUCGUCCCCCUGUGUUUCUAACCCAGAUGGGCUACCCCUAUAGUGUUAGAAGAGAACACUAUAGAUGUGAUCCUUGGUAUGUCGUGGUUAAGAAAGGUAAAGGCAAUUUAUACACUGUGCUAAAGGAACCAUAGAACUCACCAGUUACAAAGGAGAAAGAUUUGAAGUUGGAAUUGCAGUAACUACCGCCACCAACUAGCGGCAUUCUUAGUCGAUGGGAAGUUUGUUGGUGACAACAUCCGUGUGGUUAAGAUGUCUUUCCAGAGGAGUUACCAGGGAUGCCACCAGAUACAGAAGUUGAGUUUGUCAUAGAUCUCUUACCUAGAACUGCUCCUAUUUCUAAAUGGACAUAUAAGGAUGUCUGUAGAAGAGUUAAAAGAAGCACUUAACGGAGUUGCAAGAGGCUAGGUACAUUCAUCCGAGUCUUCACCUUGGAGAGCAUCAGUUUUGUUUGUACAGAAGAAAAUGGAUUGCAAGGGAUGUGCGUGGAUUAAAGGUCCCUUAAUGGUGUCACUAUGAAGAACAAGUAUCCAUUACCCCGUAUUGAGGAUUUAUUUGAUCAGAUGAGAGGUGCUAGGGUAUUCUUGAAGAUUGAUCUCCGAUCGGGAUACCAUCAAAUGAAGAUUAGACCAUCGGAUAUUCCUAAGACGGCUUUCUCAACCCGAUAUGGAUUAUAUGAGUUCACUGUUAUGUCGUUUGGAUUAACUAAUGCACCAGCUUAUUUUAUGAAUUUGAUGAAUAAGGUGUUUAUAGAGUAUUUGGACAGAUUCGUCGUGGUGUUCAUCGAUGAUAUUCUUAUCUAUUCUAAGAGUGAAAGUGAUCAUGAAGAACAUCUAAGGCUGGUGCUACAAAAGCUAAGGGAUAAUCAACUCUAUGCCAAGUAUAGCAAAUGUGAGUUUUGGAUUGGCGAGGUGCCAUUCCUUGGACAUAUCUUUUCUAGUGAAGGGAUAUCAGUGGAUCCUGCUAAAGUCAAGGAGAUAGUGGCGUGGAGCACAACCACUACAGUUAUUGAGAUUCAGAGUUUCUUGGGGCUUGCAGGAUAUUAUCGGAGAUUUAUUGAAGAUUUUUCUAAGAUUGCUAAGCCCAUGACCUCGCUUCUAGAGAAGGGAAGAGAGUUCAAGUGGGAUGAGAAAUGCCAAGACAACUUUGAUCAAUUGAAGAAGAGAUUGAUGUCACCACCAGUGUUGAUUAUGCCAGAUCUACAGAAGGGAUUUUGAAAGUCGCCUAGAGGGGGGGGUGAAUAGGCAAAUCUGAAAUUUACAAACUUAAACACAACUACAAGCCGAAGUUAGCGUUAGAAAUAUAAACGAGUCCGAAAGAGAGGGCGAAAACAAAUCACAAGCGAUAAGAGCCGAUGACACGGUGAUUUGUUUUACCGAGGUUCGGUUCUUGCAAACCUACUCCCCGUUGAGGUGGUCACAAAGACCGGGUCUCUUUCAACCCUUUCCCUCUCUCAAACGAUCACUUAGACCGAGUGAGCCUUUCUCUUCAAUCAAAUGGGACACUAAGUCCACUACAAGGACCACCACAACUUGGUGUCUCUUGUUUUGAUUACAAGUGAGUUGAACACAAGAAAGAAGGAAGAAGAAAAGCAAUCCAAGCGCAAGAGCUCAAAUGAACACAAAUGUCUCUCUCUCUAGUCACUAAUUUCUUUGGAGUGAUUCCGGACUUGGGAGAGGAUUUGAUCUCUUUGAUUGUGUCUUUGAAUGAAGUCUAGAGCUCUUGUAUGAGGUUUGAAGGCUGAAAACUUGGAUGCAUUGAAGUGUGGUGGUUGGGGGUAUUUAUAGCCCCAACCACCAAAAGAACCGUUGGUGGAGGCUGCUGUCGUAUGGCGCACCGGACAGUCCGGUGCGCCACCGGACACUGUUCAGUGCGCCAGCCACGUCACCAGGCCGUUGGGUUCCGACCGUUGGAGCUCUGACAAGUGGGGCCACCGGACAGUCCGGUGGUGCACCGGACAGUCACUGUUCACUGUCCUGUGUGCCUUCUGAUGCCUGCUCUGACUUCUGUGCGCGCAGUGAACACUGUUCACUGUUCCUGUACCGUUGCAGACGACCGUUGGCGCUUGGAGCCGUUGCUUCGCUUGGUGCACUGGACAGUCCUGUAAUUAUAGCGAAGCGGCCUCCUGAAUUCCCGAAGGUGGCAAGUUCAGAGUUGAACUCCCUGGUGCACCGGACACUGUCCGGUGGCACACCGGACAAUCCGGUGCGCCAGACCAGGGCUGCCUUUGGGUUGUCUUUUGCUCUGUUUAUUUGAACCCUUUCUUGGUCUUUUUAUUGGUUUGUUGUGAACCUUUGGCACCUGUAAAACUUAUAAUCUAGAGCACACUAGUUAGUCCAAUUAUUUGUGUUGGGCAAUUCAAACACCAAAAUCAAUUAGGAAAAGGUGUAAGCCUAUUUCCGUUUCAAUCUCCCCCUUUUUUGUGAUUGAUGCCAACACAAACCAAAGCAAAUAUAUAAGUGCAGAAUUGAACUAGUUUGCAUAAUGUAAGUGCAAAGGUUGCUUGGAAUGAAACCAAUAAUUAUUUCUACUAGAUAUGAUGGAUGGCUUUAAGUAUUUUGGACCACACUUGCACCACUUGUUUUGUUUUUGCAAAUGUUUUGGAAAUUCUUUUUCAACGUCUUUUGCAAAUAGUCAAAGGUAAAUGAAUAAGAUUUUGAGAAGCAUUUUCAAGAUUUGAAAUUUUCUCCCCCUGUUUCAAAUGCUUUUCCUUUGACUAAACAAAACUCCCCCUUAAUGAAAUCCUCCUCUUAGUGUUCAAGAGGGUUUUAGAUAUUAAUUUUGAAGAGGGUAUACCAAUUUGAAAUUAUAUCAAAAAUAAGAUACCAAUUUGAAAACACUACUUUAAAUACAAAUUGAAAGACUAAAUUUUUGAAAUUGGUGGUGGUGCGGUCCUUUUGCUUUGGGCUAAUACUUUCUCCCCCUUUGGCAUGAAUCACCAAAAACAGAUACUUGUGAGUGAAAUAUAAGCCCUUUGUUACUUUCUCUCCCUUUGGCAAACAAAAUAGGAGUGAAGGAUUAUACCAAAGUGAAGAGGGGGUAUGGAGCGACGACGAAGGAUGAAUAAAUCGAUGGAGUGGAGUGGAAGCCUUGUCUACGCCGAAGACUCCAUUUCCCUUUCAAUCUAUGACUUAGCAUGAAAUGCACUUGAAAACACAUUAGUCAUAACACAUGAAAGAGAGAUGAUCAAAGGUAUAGAAAUGAGCUAUGUGUGCAAAACAUCAAUCAAAAUUCCUAGAAUCAAGAAUAUUUAGCUCAUGCCUAAGUUUGGUAAAUGUUUUCUCAUCUAGUGGCUUGGUAAAGAUAUCGGCUAAUUGUUCUUUAGUGUUAAUAUAAGCAAUCUCGAUAUCCCCCUUUUGUUGGUGAUCCCUUAAAAAGUGAUACCGAAUGGCUAUGUGUUUAGUGCGGCUAUGCUCAACGGGAUUAUCCGCCAUGCGGAUUGCACUCUCAUUAUCACAUAGAAGAGGAACUUUGGUUAAUUUGUAACCAUAGUCUCUAAGGGUUUGCCUCAUCCAAAGUAAUUGCGCGCAACAAUGGCCUACGACAAUGUACUCGGCUUCGGCGGUAGAAAGAGCUACAGAAUUUUGCUUCUUUGAAGCCCAAGACACCAGAGAUCUUCCCAAGAACUGGCAAGUCCCUGAUGUGCUCUUUCUAUCAAUCUUACAUCUUGCCCAAUCAGCAUAUGAAUAUCCAAUUAAGUCAAAAGUGGAUCCCCUGGGGUACCAAAGGCCAAACUUAGGAGUAUAAACUAAAUAUCUCAAGAUUCGUUUUACGGCCCUAAGGUGAACUUCCUUAGGAUCGACUUGGAAUCUUGCACACAUGCAUACGGAAAGUAUUAUAUCCGGUCGAGAAGCGCAUAAAUAGAGUAUAGAACCUAUCAUCGAUCGGUAUACCUUUUGAUCUACGGAUUUACCUCCCGUGUCGAGGUCGAGAUGCCCAUUAGUUCCCAUGGGAGUCUUGAUGGGCUUGGCAUCCUUCAUCCCAAACUUGGUGAGUAUGUCUUGAAUGUACUUCGUUUGGCUAAUGAAGGUGCCCUCUUAGAGUUGCUUGACUUGAAAUCCUAGAAAAUACUUCAACUCCCCCAUCAUAGACAUCUCGAAUUUUUGAAUCAUGAUCCUACUAAAUUCUUCACAAGUAGAUUUGUUAGUAGACCCAAAUAUGAUAUCAUCAACAUAAAUUUGGCAUACAAACAAAUCAUUUGCAAUAGUUUUAGUGAAUAGAGUAGGAUCGGCUUUUCCGACUUUGAAGCCAUUAGAGAUAAGAAAAUCUCUUAGGCAUUCAUACCAUGCUCUUGGGGCUUGCUUGAGCCCAUAAAGCGCCUUAGAGAGUUUAUAAACAUGGUUAGGGUACUCACUAUCUUCAAAGUCGGGAGGUUGCUCAACAUAGACCUCCUCCUUGAUUGGUCCAUUGAGGAAGGCACUUUUCACGUCCAUUUGGUAAAGCUUAAAGCCAUGGUAAGUAGCAUAGGCAAGUAAUAUACGAAUUGACUCAAGCCUAGCUACGAGUGCAUAGGUUUCACCGAAAUCCAAACCUUCGACUUGUGAAUAUCCUUUGGCCACAAGUCAGGCUUUGUUCCUUGUCACCACACCAUGCUCAUCUUGCUUGUUGCGGAAGACCCACUUGGUUCCUACAACAUUUUGGUUAGGACGUGGAACAAGAUGCCAAACCUCAUUCCUCGUGAAGUUGUUGAGUUCCUCUUGCAUUGCCAACACCCAAUCCGAAUCCCUUAAUGCGCCUUCCACCCUGUAUGGCUCAAUAGAAGACACAAAGGAGUAAUGUUCACAAAAAUGAGCAACACGAGAUCGAGUGGUUACCCCCUUAUGAAUAUCGCCGAGGAUGGAGUUCAUGGGGUGAUCUCAUUGUAUUGCUUGGUGGACUCUUGGGUGUGGCGGUCUUGGACCGUCGUCAUCUUCCUUGUCUUGAUCAUUGGCAUCUCCCCCUUGAUCAUUGCCCUCCUCUUGAGGUGGCUCAUCUUCUUGAUCUUCAUUUUCAUCUUCUUGAUCUUGAUCCUGAUCUUGAGUUGGUGGAUAUGCUUGUAUGGAGGAAGAUGGUUGAUCUUGUGCUUAUGGAGGCUCUUCGGAUUCCUUAGGACAUACAUCCCCAAUGGACAUGUUCCUUAGCGCGACGCACAGAGCCUCUUCAUCAUCUAGCUCAUCAAGAUCAACUUGCUCUACUUGAGAGCCGUUAGUCUCAUCAAACACAAUGUCACAAGAAACUUCAACUAGUCCAGUGGACUUGUUAAAGACUCUAUAUGCCCUUGUGUUUGAAUCAUAUCCUAGUAAAAAGCCUUCUACAGGCUUGGGAGAAAAUUUAGAUUUUCUACCUCUUUUAACAAGAAUAAAGCAUUUGCUACCAAAGACUCUAAAAUAUGAAACAUUGGGUUUUUACCGGUGAGGAGUUCAUACGAUGUCUUCUUGAGGAUUCGGUGAAGGUAGAGACGGUUGAUGGCGAAGCAAGCGGUGUUGAUUGCUUCCGCCCAAAACCGGUCCGAAGUCUUGUAUUCAUCAAGCAUGGUCCUCGCCAUGUCAAGCAGAGUUCUAUUCUUCCUCUCCACUACACCAUUUUGUUGUGGCGUGUAGGGAGAAGAGAACUCAUGCUUGAUGCCCUCAUCCUCAAGGAAGCCUUCUAUUUGUGAGUUCUUGAACUCCGUCCCGUUGUCGCUUCUAAUCUUUUUGAUCCUUAAGCCGAACUCAUUUUGAGCUCGUCUCAAGAAUCCCUUUAAGGUCUCUUGGGUUUGAGAUUUAUCCUGUAAAAAGAACACCCAAGUGAAGCGAGAAUAAUCAUCCACAAUAACUAGACAGUACUUACUCCCACCGAUGCUUAUGUAAGCUAUCGGGUCGAAUAGGUCCAUGUGGAGUAGCUCAAGCGGCCUGUCAGUCGUCAUGGUGUUCUUGUGUGGAUGAUGAACACCAACUUGCUUCCCUGCUUGACAUGCGCUACAAACCCUGUCUUUCUCAAAAUGAACAUUUGUUAGUCCCAAAAUGUGUUCUUCCUUUAGAAGCUUAUGAAGAUUCUUCAUCCCAACAUGGGCUAGUCGGCGGUGCCAGAGCCAACCCAUGUUAGUCUUAGCAAUUAAGCAAGUGUCGAGUUCAGCUCUAUCAAAAUCUACUAAGUAUAGCUGACCCUCUAACACUCCCUUAAAUGCUACUGAAUCAUCACUUCUUCUAAAGACAGUAACACCUAUAUCCGUAAAAAGACAAUUAUAGCCCAUUUUGCAUAAUUGAGAAACAGAAAGCAAAUUGUAAUCUAAAGAAUCUACAAGAAAAACAUUGGAAAUAGAAUGGUCAGGUGAUAUAGCAAUUUUACCAAGUCCUUUGACCAAACCUUGAUUUCCAUCCUCGAAUGUGAUAGCUCUUUGGGGAUCAUGGUUUUUCUCGUAGGAGGAGAACAUCCUUUUCUCCCCUGUCAUGUGGUUUGUGCACCCACUAUCAAUAAUCCAACUUGAGCCCCCGGAUGAAUAAACCUACAAAACAAUUUUAGGCCUUGUUCUUAGGUACCCAAACAGUCUUGGGUCCUUUCACAUUAGAAACAAGCACCUUGGGUACCCAAACACAAGUCUUUGACCCCUUGUGUUUGCCCCCAACAUAUUUGGCAACUAUUUUGCCUGAUUUGUUAGUGAGCACAUAAGAAGCAUCAAUAGUUUUAAAUGAAACAUUAGGUUCAUUUGAUGCAAUAGGAGUUUUCUUCUUAGGCAAUUUAGCAUGAGUUGAUUGCCUAGAACUAGAUGCCUCACUCUUAUACAUAAAAGCAUGAUGAGAGCCAGAGUGAGACUUCCUAGAGUGAAUUCUCCUAAUUUUGUGCUCGGGAUAACCGGCAGGGUAUAAAAUGUAACCCUCAUUAUCCUGAGCUAUGGGAGCUUUGCCCUUAACAAAGUUAGACAAUCUUUUAGGAGGGGCACUAAGCUUGACAUUGUCUCCCUGUUGGAAGCCAAUGCCAUCCUUAAUGCCAGGGCGUCUCCCAUUAUAGAGCAUGCUUCUAGCAAAUUUAAAAUUUUCAAUUUCUAAGUCAUGCUCAUUGAUUUUAGCAGUUAAUGUAGCUAUAUGAUCAUUUUGUUGUUUGAUUAAAGCAAGGUGAUCAUGAAUAGUAUCUACAUUAACAUCUCUACAUCUAGUGCAAAUAGAAACAUGCUCAACGGUAGAUGUAGAGGGUUUGCAAUAUUUUAGUUCAACAAUCUUAGCAUGUAAAAUAGUAUUCUCAUUUCUAAGAUUGGAAAUAGCAUCAUUGCAAACAUUUAAAUCUUUAGCCUUAGCAAUUAAUUUUUCAUUUUCAAUCUUAAGGCUAGAAAGAGAUACAUUCAAUUUGUCAAUCUUAGUGAUUAAACUAGCAUUAUCAUUUCUAAGAUUAACAAUUGAAUCAUCACAAACAUUUGAUUUCUCAACCUUAGCAAUUAAUUUGGCAUUUUCAUUUCUAAGGCUAGAAAUAGUGUCAUGGCAAGUGCUUAGCUCACUAGUUAAUUUUUACAUUUUUGUACCUCUAGAGCAUAAGCAUUUUUAACCUUAACAUGUUUUUUGUUUUUCUUAAUAAGGAAGUCCUCUUGGCUAUCCAAAAGUUCAUCCUUCUCAUGAAUAGCACUAAUCAAUUCAUUCAACUUUUCUUUUUAUUGCAUGUUUAAGUUGGCAAAAAGGGUAAGUAAAUCAUCCUCAUCAUCACUAGAACUAGCUUCAUCACUAGAUGUUGCAUAUUUAGUGGAGGAUCUAGAUUUUACCUUCUUCUUCUUGCCGUCCUUUGCCAUGAGGCACUUGUGGCCGACGUUGGGAAAGAGAAGGCCUUUGGUGACGGUGAUGUUUGCAGCGUCCUCGUCGGAGGAGGAGUCGGUGGAGCUCUCGUCGGAGUCCCACUCCUGGCAAACAUGAGCAUCGCCGCCCUUCUUCUUGUAGUACCUCUUCUUUUCUCUUCUCUUUCCCUUCUUGUCGUCGCCCCUGUCACUAUCACUAGACAAAGGACAUCUAGCGAUAAAAUGACCGGGCUAACCACAUUUGUAGCAAACCUUCUUGGAGCGGGGUUUGUAAUCCUUCCCCCUCCUAUGCUUGAGGAUUUGGCGGAAGCUCUUGAUGAUGAGCGCCAUUUCCUCGUUGUCGAGCUUGGAGGCGUCGAUGGGAAUCCUACUUGGUGUAGAAUCCUUCUUUUCUUCUUCCUUCGCCUUGAAUGCGACGGAUUGCACCUCGAGUGUUGAGGUAGCGCCUUGCUCGAUGAUUUUCUUGGAGCCUUUGAUCAUCAAUUCAAAGCUCACAAAUUUUUGUAUCACUUCCUCGGGAGACAUUAGUUUAUACCUUGGAUCACCACGAAUUAAUUGAACUUGUGUAGGGUUAAGAAAAACGAGUGAUCUAAGAAUAACCUUGACCAUCUCAUGGUCAUCCCAUUUGGUGCUCCCGAGGUUGCGCACUUGGUUUACCAAGGUCUUGAACCGGUUGUACAUCGCUUGUGGCUCCUCCUCUUGGUGAAGCAUGAAUCGACCGAGCUCCCCCUCGAUCGUUUCCCGCUUGGUGAUCUUGGUCACCUCAUCUCCUUCGUGCGCGGUCUUGAGCACGUCCCAAAUCUCUUUGGCACUCUUCAACCCUUGCACCUUAUUAUACUCCUCUCGACUUAGAGAGGCGAGGAGUAUAGUAGUGGCUUGGGAGUUGAAGUGUUGGAUUUGUUCGACCUCCUUUGAAUCAUAAUCCUUGUCCCCCUUCUUCGGUACCUGCGCUCCAUACUCAACAAUGUCCCAUAUACUUUUGUGGAGUGAGGUUAGGUGAUGCCUCAUUUUAUCACUCCACAUAGAAUAAUCUUCACCUUCAAACAUAGGUGGUUUGCCUAAUGGGACGGAAAGUAAAGGAGUGGGUUUUGAAAUACGAGGGUAGCGAAGAGGUAUCUUACUAUACUUCUUGCGCUCAUGGCGUUUAGAAGUGGCGGAUGCCGAUUCCGAGCUGGAGGUGGAGGGUGACGAAGAGUCGGUCUCGUAGUAGACCACCUUCUUCAUCUUCUUCUUCUUGUCACCCUUCCGUUGGGAUUUGAUGGAGGAAGAGGAUUCCUCCUUGUGCUUGUGGGCGGACUCCCUUGAGUGUGUUCUCGCCGAGCUUGCGGACUUGUUGCCGGUCCCGAUCUCCCUCAUGGCGGAUGCUCCCGACAUCACUUCGCGUGGUUAGGCUCUUAAUGAAGUACCAGGCUCUAAUACCAAUUGAAAGUCGCCUAGAGGGGGGGGGGGUGAAUAGGAAAAUCUGAAAUUUACAAACUUAAACACAACUACAAGCCGAAGUUAGCGUUAGAAAUAUAAACGAGUCCGAAAGAGAGGGCGAAAACAAAUCACAAGCGAAUAAGAGCCGAUGACACGGUGAUUUAUUUUACCGAGGUUUGGUUCUUGCAAACCUACUCUCCGUUGAGGUGGUCACAAAGACCGGGUCUCUUUCAACCCUUUCCCUCUCUCAAACGAUCACUUAGACCGAGUGAGCCUUUCUCUUCAAUCAAAUGGGACACUAAGUCCACUACAAGGACCACCACAACUUGGUGUCUCUUGUUUUGAUUACAAGUGAGUUGAACACAAGAAAGAAGGAAGAAUAAAAGCAAUCCAAGCGCAAGAGCUCAAAUGAACACAAAUGUCUCUCUCUCUAGUCACUAAUUUCUUUGGAGUGAUUCCGGACUUGGGAGAGGAUUUGAUCUCUUUGAUUGUGUCUUAGAAUGAAGUCUAGAGCUCUUGUAUGAGGUUUGAAGGCUAAAAACUUGGAUGCAUUGAAGUGUGGUGGUUGGGGGGUAUUUAUAGCCCCAACCACCAAAAGAACCGUUGGUGGAGGCUGCUGUCGUAUGGCGCACCGGACAGUCCGGUGCGCCACCGGACACUGUCCGGUGCGCCAGCCACGUCACCAGGCCGUUGGGUUCCGACCGUUGGAGCUCUGACAAGUGGGGCCACCGGACUUUCUGGUGGUGCACCGGACAGUCACUGUUCACUGUCCGGUGCGCCUUCUGACGCCUGCUUUGACUUCUGCGUGUGCAGUUAACACUGUUCACUGUUCCUGUACCGUUGCAGACGACCGUUGGCACUUGGAGCCGUUGCUCCGCUUGGUGCACCGGACAGUCCCUUGCUACACCGGACAGUCCGGUGAAUUAUAGCGGAGCGGCCUCCUGAAUUCCCGAAGGUGGCAAGUUCAGAGUUGAACUCCCUGGUGCACCGGACACUGUCCUGUGCGCCAGACCAGGGCUGCCUUUGGGUUGUCUUUUGCUCUCUUUAUUUGAACCCUUUCUUGGUCUUUUUAUUGGUUUGUUGUGAACCUUUGGCACCUGUAAAACUUAUAAUCUAGAGCAAACUAGUUAGUCCAAUUAUUUGUGUUGGGCAAUUCAACCACCAAAAUCAAUUAUGAAAAGGUGUAAGCCUAUUUCCCUUUCAGAUUUGACAUUUAUUGUAAUGCAUGUGGCCAAGGAUUGGGAUGUGUGCUCAUGCAAGAAGGACAUGUGAUCGCCUAUGCGUCUCGUCAGUUGCGGAAACAUGAAUUGAACCACCCCACUCAUGACUUAGAACUGGCAGUCGUUAUGCAUGCACUUAAGAUUUGGAGACACUACAAUAUGGGAACUAAGUGCCAAGUAUACACAGAUCAUAAGAGUUUGAAGUAUAUAUUCACUCAGAAGGAUCUCAACCUUAGGCAACGCCAUUGGUUGGAGCUUAUUAAGGAUUAUGAUUUGGAGAUUCACUAUCACCCGGGCAAGGCAAAUUUGGUUGCAGAUGCCUUGAGUCGAAAGGAGCAUGUUCAUUCAGCUGUUGUUGCCCAGCUACCCGAUGAGAUUGUUGAGGAUUUCAGGAGACUUAACCUGGGGAUAGUUACUCACAUUGAAGGAGUUACUAUUGAUGUGUAACCUACCUUGGAGCAAGAAAUCCACAAAGGACAAAUUGGUGAUGCUAAGAUACAAGAAAUUAAGGAUCUUAUUACGGAAGGUAGAGGUCCAGAGUUUACAGAAGAUGAGCAAGGCACCAUAUGGUUCAAGGACAGGAUAUGUGUCCCUGAUAUUGAAAGCCUUCGUGAGACUAUUUUAAAAGAGACCCAUGACUCGGAUUAUUCUAUUCAUCCUGGGAGUACCAAGAUGUAACAGGAUUUGAAGCAGAAAUACUGGUGGUAUGGAUUGAAGAGAGAUGUGGCUGCACAUGUGGCUAUGUGCGAUGUGUGUCAAAGAGUUAAGGCUAAACACCAGAGGCCAGCUGGACUACUACAUCCACUAAAGAUACCCAAGUGGAAGUGAGAAGAGAUUGAUAUGGACUUCAUUACUGGAUUGCCUCGCACCUCGAAAGGAUAUGAUUCUAUAUGGGUGAUUGUGGACAGGCUAACUAAAGUAGCCCACUUAAUUCCAGUGAAGACCACGUAUUCAGGAGCCAAGUUGGCAGAGUUGUACAUGGCACAGAUUGUCUGCUUACAUGGUGUACCAAAGAAGAUUGUGUCAGACCGGGGAUCACAGUUUACCUCUCGGUAUUGGAAGAAGUUGCACGAGUCCUUGGAUACAAGAUUGAAUUUUAGUUCGGCUUACCAUCCCCAGACUGAUGGGAAGACUGAGAGGACCAACCAAGUACUAGAGAAUAUGUUAAGAGCUUGUGCUCUUAAACAUGGUGGAAGUUGGGAUAAGAGUUUGCCUUAUGCGGAGUUCUCCUAUAAUAAUAGCUACCAGGCCAGUUUGAAGAUGUCACCGUUUGAGGCUUUGUAUGGCAGAAAGUGCAGGACUCCACUGUAUUGGGAUCAAACUGGUGAAAGGCAGUUGUUUGGUAUUGAGAUUAUACAAGAAGCAGAAAUGUCCAUCAAAUAAGGGAGAAUUUGAGAACUGCACAGUCAAGGCAGAAAAGCUAUGCUGAUACCCGGAGAAGACUGCUCGAGUUUAAGGAGGGAGAUUAUGUGUAUUUGAAGGUGUCACCACUCAGGGGUAUGAGAAGAUUUAAAGUCAAGGGAAAGUUGUCCCCUUGCUUUAUUGGACCCUUCUUAAUCUUAAAGCGAGUGGGAGAGGUGGCAUAUCAAUUGGAGUUACCGGAUCAUCUUGCGGAUGUUCAUGAUGUCUUUCAUGUAUCUCAGCUGAAGAAAUGUCUUAGGGUACCUGAAGAGCAGUUACCAAUGGAGGACCUUAGUGUUCAAGAUGACCUGACUUAUGCUGAGUACCACAUCAAGAUUAUUGAUACACUGACUCGUGUCACGAGGAAUAAGGUUAUAAAGAUGUGCAAAGUGCAAUGGAGCCACCACGGUGAAGAUGAAGCUACUUGGGAAAGAGAAUAAGAGCUUCACAUAGAUUUUCCCCAUUUUUUUCCUAGAGCUUCUUAAAUCUCGAGGACGAGAUUCUUUUUAAGGGGGGUAGGAUUUGUAAUACUCAAAAUUGAAUAAAAGGAUUGGAUAGUAAAUUCUUCAUUUUAUGUGCCUUAUUUGCAUCAUAAAAAGAGCAUAUAUAUAAUUAAGGGUUAUUAAUUAAAAUAAAUGAUAAAAAAAGAGAAUAUGCAUCAUGUUGGAUAUUUUUGUAUGCUUGUGCAUUUAGAUAACAAUAACAAUAAUAGUGGAAACAAAAGAAUGACUUGGAAUGUAGAAUCAACCCCAAUUUAGACUUAGGGUUAAAAUUAGAGUGAGAAGAGAGAAAUACUAUACAAAUAUAAGGAAUAUAUAUAUAUAAUUAAAUGCACCUGUUCAUGAUGGUGCUUGAAUUUGAGCAAUUCACCUAAGCAUGAACUUCACAACAACAUUUGAAUUCAAAUUGAAAUUUGAAAUAAGGAAAAAAAUAAGAAAAAAGGGAUAAAACCUCACUUGGGCCGGCUUACCAUGUUUUGGCCCACUAGGGGAAGUCGUCCGCAAAGUCCCGUCACCACCGGGCGCCGACUACCUAGCCCCGCACGUCAGCCACCGUCUCCCCCACGCUAACGUCGCUCUCGCAGUCAAUGACUUGCCGGACCCACGGGUCUGUGACUCAUCCCCGUGCCUUGCGCCACUGGCUGUCACACGGGGCCCGCAAGUCAGCAACUACCUCUGUGGACUCCGCUCGAUGGCGCAACAGAAUGCCCGCCGCGACUCCCCGGGAUUGACCAGCUCGCGCCCAUCUCCCGGAGCUAUCGGCCACCACUCGGGCCUUAUUUAGCAACCCCGUGACCCGUUCCUCCCUAACCUCUCGCACGAACCUUUCCCCUGAGCACACCGCCACCGCCACAAACCUUCGCCGCGUCCGCUCGGAAUAGUGCCGCCGCCGGUGAUUCCCUUACGCACUAGCGCGCGUAUCCGUACGUGUGGUCAGGUGCGUUCGCCGGGAAACCGUGAAGCUGCUAGAGUCCUCAAUUCGAACUGCGGAGCCUCGGAGCGACUUGGAUUGCUCGCCGUAGUUCGAUCUCCGCCGCGGGACCGCUUUGCGCCGUGGCCAAGUGUCCCUGCUUCACCGUCGUCGGUAAGAAGUCCACAUACCGAUUCGCCCAUGCACCUACAUCGUGUAGCAUUAGUUUGAUUUGGGAAUCAUGCGCUGGGGGCUUGAAUCGCGCGCUCGCCGGUGAUGGCGCCACCGGGUUCCGUCUGGUGCGCCGCCGACUGGUUGGGUUAGAUGGUGUGUUUGUCGGGCACCGUAGGAUCUGUGAUGGGCGGCUGUGAUUACUUUCACCGUAACGAUUCGGCUAGGGAGACUCGGGGGCGUCGGAUCAUGAUCGGACGCGUAGGAUCUAGCUUGGGUAUUUUAAAUCGGGGCCGCAGAUCACCGAUCCAACGGCUAGCGUAACAUGCGGGUUCUGUAUGAUGAUAGAAUCAUCUGCACCGUCCGGAUCUAAUCCAACGACCCACAUCUACGGAUACCCCUUCACGAUAGCGUUUUGCAUAAGAGACCCCACAGAAGUUGGGUAUCAACUCGCGGUCCAUCCCCCUGUGCCCUGUGUCUUAGUAUUUUUAGCCCCGAGAUCCCUGGCCUUUCUGAAAAUUGAUGCCCAGUCCAGAGAUGAUUAAAAAUAGAGAAAUAAUUAUAGAAAUUCGUUUUUAAUACAAAAACAAAUCUAGAAACUUGUAAAAUGCAUAGAAAAUUCAUUUUUAGUCCAAAUUGAUCCAUUCCAAUUUCUAGAAUUUUGUAAAUUUAAUAUCUAUCACCUAGAGUCUCUGUUUUGGCAUGAAAACAGUAAGAAAAUUAAUUUCUCGUGUAAUUCCUUUUCAAGCACAUUAAACCAUUGGAAAUUAAUAAUUCAAAAUCUAUAACUCCAAAAUUAAUGAUUCCUGUUCCUAGGUCCUUAUUAUAAUGUGUAGAUUUUUAUUGUGUAUUUUAUUCACAUGUUUGGUGCAAUGUUAAUUUUUGCUAUACUAUGUAUGUAUUGUGUUGAUGCGAGUAGAUGAGCAAGCCACUGUGGAUCCUGAGGUUCAGCAGGUAUAGCUGAGCAGGAGCUCAUUGAAGGCAAGUUGUGCCCUUGAUCACUUACUUUUUCCUAGCCAUGUUCUUAUUACUUAUAAUGAUCUGCAUAGGGUAAUUUUGAUGGGAUUCAAUAGGUUACCCCAGUUUUGGCUAUCUUUAUACCUUGUUGCCACUGAAUAUUUUUGGGUAGUACUUGCUAUUGCUUAUUGUGGUUUUGGGUAUGGAGAUACACUAUUCAUGAUUUCAUCUUUAUUAUCUGUUUAUUAUUAUUGUUCAUGUUAAGAUCUGUUGGGGGCCUUCGUCUUCCGAAGGUCCUCAAAAACAUGAUUUAACAAUGUUUCCGGAGUUGUAAUACAUGAACAGGUACCUUCGAAUUCGAAUCAGAACCACAGUAGGAGAAGCACAAAUGAUACGAAGGUUGAUGCAGCGCCGAAGCUAGCGCAAGGGAGCUUCGACAUGACAGCAGGAAAGGAAACCGACUUAAAAGGGAAAAGGCUAUUUAGACCUCGAUGGAUCAUUAUAGGGUCAUUAGCAAAUAUAAAGAACAGUGCUCCCGUACUGUUCACGCUGACUUGGCAUUUGCUUUUGCAUCACGCUUGUACCUUUGCUGUCUAUCAAGUCGAAGGUAUCAAAUGUAAUUCAGUACUGUUUUAUUUCUCCAUGAUAAUAUAAUGAAGAUGAGUUGAUAAUGUUACAC
rnacentral:lncRNA from 1 species